ensembl:lncRNA
GCAAUUUUUUGCUUUCCUAGUAUACUUUUUAAAAUAAGUGCGUGUGAUAGUUCGUGGACACAGACAGGGUUAACAGACCUGAAACAUCUAUCAGAACGGACAGAAGCUAGCCAUGCUACAGGUGCAGAGAGUGUGUCUUCCAGAAAGGUUAGACACACUACCUGUGGAGGCCACCAGCGCCUGCCCCGCCACAGAGGGCUUCGAUCGGCCGAGGACAGGCCCCUGCUUCCCCUUCCGUGGACGGUGGUCCGAUCCCCCCCGGGUCCGCCUGGUGAUCUACCAGCGCCCAUCGAUCGCCGGACCAGAGCCCUAUCCAUAGUAAUGAGCUUCAUUACAGCCCAUGGAGCCACUCCCCGUCACUGGAAACCGCCGGGCCCCAGUGAGUGCGUAUCCAUAGUAACACAGACCAU